AAUUAUUAUGUAUAAUUAAGAAUUAUGAUGGCUAAUUACGAAAGUGUAUAGUGUUAGUUAUGAAUUAUUAUAGAUAACUAAGAAUUAAGAUGUUUAGUUACAAAAAACGAUAUUAAAUCUAUUCAACACACGUAUACAUCGUUUCCGUAACAUAUUUCCGCAACACACUUAUAUAUCGUUACUCUCAUUGAAGUUGAGAGCGUUAGAUGCACAAAAUUCCCAAAGAAAAGUCAUGAGAAUAUUCUUAUGACAGCAUCCAACAAUAAUCCCAAAAGACUAUCCUCUACUCCACAACCACAUACUUUACUUUCUCGAUUUCUGAGGAUAAGUAUGUAAUUAAACAAUUGAACAAGUCUUAUAAAGAGUUGAAAAAUAAAGCAUAAAUUUAGAGUAUUCGAAUUGUGUAUUCAAAGAUAGAGUUUAAUACUUUUUAGAUUUUUAUUUCAUUAAAAUUUAGGACUAAUUGCAUUUUGUUCCCUAAACUAUUGCUCGGUGUCACAACCCCUCUAAACUAAAAAUUAAAUCGACUUUUCUCCUCAAACUAUUGAAAGUUGUCACUUUAGUACAUCCGUUAGCCAUCUGUUAAAUAUAAUAUGUUAAAUUGUCAUGUGAGCAGCUCAUGGAUAAAAAAACAAAACAAAAUCACUAAAAUAACCCUAUUUUUUUGUAAUUAACCCCGUUUAGGAUCAAAUUAUCCAAAUUUUCUUCUUGCCCUCUCUAUAUAACAAUAUUUGGGCAUUUUAGUCCUAAAAAAGAUUAAUUUCCAAAAUAAGGCUAUUUUAGAGAGUUUAUUUUAUUUUUUUGUCAAUGAACUGCUUACGUGUCAAUUUAACAUUUUAUGUUUAAUGGAUAACUAAUGAAAGUAGUAUAGUGUCUACUUUCAAUAGUUUAAUAGGGACAAUUGAUUGAGUUUAUAAUUUAGAGGGGUUAAGUGACACCGAGCAAUAGUUUAGGGGCAAAAUAUAAUUAGCCCUAGUAUUUAUGUGUGCGUACAUAUAUAUAUAUAUAUAUAUAUAGUUCAUAUUGAUUAUUUUUAUUCAUAAACGUCAACCUUUUUAUAAAUUGAAAAUCAUUUACUUAAUAUUAAAAUAUCAUUAUGAAAUGAUUUUUUUUAAAAAGAGAGUAGAUUGGAGAAUUACACAUAAGCGUUCUAUAGUCGCAAUACAAACAAUAUUUUUAAUUAGAUACCGUCUAGAGAGAGAAUGCCAAAGAAAUUAGAGAGAGAAAUGUUUCAUAUAUUUUGGGAUUCUUAUUUUUAAUUGAUAGAAAUUAAAUUUUAAUAUUCUUAGGAUUUUUAUUUAUAUGUAGUAAUUUAAAUCAAGUAUAACUCUAUCCAUAUAUUAGGAGCACUGAAUUUUAAUAGGACCUCCAUUAUCUAAAAUGAAUCUAUUGGAUUUCGUUAAUUAAUACCAAUGCAUGAGACUCGGGAAAGAUGUUGGGCCAAACUUUCUAAUAAUCAAUAAUUUUCCACAUGACUGUUAAACUUACCUUGAAUGAAACACAAUAUCAAUCUUUGUCAAUAUAAAUCAGUAUAGAUAUAUAUAUCUGUCUAUGCAUUAUUGUUAGAGUUUGACGGGUUCAUAACACGAGCCUGGAAUAAUAUGUCUCUAAAAGAUUGCAACUCUUGAUAUUGCCUCAAAACCAUAAUUAAGGUUAAGCAUGUGGGCUAUCACCAAACUUAUUAACAACCUAAGUUGACGUGAUUAUGUCCCAGAUAAAUAAAUAAUACAAGUUCUAAAAUCUUCACCUUGCACUGACACUAAUAAAUAUUUAUAUUUUAAAUCUUUAAAAACGCAUUGUAGAAAGAUGUUUAAAACAAUUGAUACAGUUGAAUCCUCAAUUCAAUUAGUUGUACCCCUAGAGUCUACUUCUCCCUCGUACAAGUGAAAGAGAAGAUGUAAAAACUGUCAAAAUUGUCCAAGUGAGAUUUUCGGUAAAUGUGAGCCACACACAUAUUAAAUGCAAUAGGACUAAUUUAUGUGAGAGAAGAAGUAUUACUCCGGUCAAUAACCCUGAACCUUCAUGCAAGUUUCACAACUUGACUUUGUUAAAUUGCAACAUAAAUGUCCAUCCUUUUCUUGACGGGCCCUUGCUUUGGAAUAGCUUCAUCAAUUAUUUCAUGCGAGAUGGACCACUUGUUCAAUCAAUUUAUACCAAUUUUGUAAAAAAAUUUAACAAACGAAAAUUAUUCAAUGCGCUUGACAGGAGCGGAGCUAAAAUUCCUUCGAAAUGAGGGCCAAAUAUCUAGAAGCAUAUACGUAUGUUUUUCAUUUGAUAAUUAAAAUAUAUAAAUAAAUUGAAAUGAUUAAUAAUUUUCGAGACUCAAUUCGAUAUUCUGGAAAAGAUGUUGGGCCAAACUUUCUAAUAAUCAAUAAUUUUCCACAUGACUGUUAAACUUACCUUGAAUGAAACACAAUAUCAAUCUUUGUCAAUAUAAAUCAGUACAGAUAUAUAUCUCUGUCUACGCAUUAUUGUUAGAGUUUGACGGGUGGUACAGAUAUAUUUCUCUGUCUAUGCAUUUUGUUAGAGCUUGACGGGUUCAUAACACGAGCAUGGAAUAAUCUGCCACUAAAAGCUUGCAACUUUUGAUAUUACCUCAAAACCUUAAUUAAAGAUAAGGAUGUGGGCUAUCACCAAACUUACUAACUAUUUAAGGAUUAUGUCCCAGAUAAACAAAUAAUACAAGUUCUAAAAUUUUCAACUGACACUAAUAAAUAUUUUUAUUUUAAAUCUUUAAAAAGGCAUUGUAGAACAAUCUAUAAAACAAGUGAUACAAGUGAUUUCUCAACUCAAUUAGUUGUACCCUUAGAGUCCACUUCUCUUGAGCGAAAGAGAAAAUAAAAAGACUAUCAAACCCGAAAAAAUCUAAUAUUUGUCUAUGGUUUAUCCAAUGAUCUAAAAUUAUAAUAUUAAAUCAAAAAUAUUUUAGCUAUGAGUAAUAUUGAAUGAUCCACAUGAAAAGAAGCAAACCAAUCAACCAAAAAGAGCACAAGAUUUUUACCAUAGAAACCCUUGAAUGGGAGAAAAAUCACGUGUCCACUCUCUGAAUAAAGAUCAUGCACUAUAAUCCGAAAUUUAGACGGUUACAAGACUCUUACAAUCAAAACAUAUCAACUUCAUGAUCUAAUGAUUGUGUAAAUCUAGCUCGUAUCCACGAUUCACCGUCUCCGUGCUUGAUCACCAUUUAGAUCCCCUUAAAACGAAUUUCACACCUUAAACUCCUACAAGGAUUUUGAAUUUUUCAAUUUGGUUGAUGAAGAUCUUUGCUAAUAUUUGUUUCUGAGCUCUUCGGAAGGUAGAGAACACUUUUCUCUAGGUUAUAAUGCUAUAGGCGGCUCACCUCAGGUCUUGAGAAGUGUUUUGAGCCUUUUAUAGAGCCAAAAAUCCUAAAAAAUACAAUUUUUGACUUUGCAAAUUUUCGUGAGUACUGUUGAUCCCGCGAAGUACCUGUGAAUUCUGUGACAAUUUUCAAGCUCUCAGUUUCUUCUCGUGAGAUCUGUGAACUACCCGCGAAGUUCAUAAUUUUUUACUCCGAUAUCCGAUAGAACUGAUUUUUAGUGCGUUGGAAAGAAAACUUCAAGGAACACAACUUUGCCUCUAAUGAUCAUUGGCUGAAUCAAUCUCUAAGAUGGCAAAAAUUAAGCUUGAAAAUUGCAGGUGAAUCCAUAAUGUAUCAUACAAGUUUCUCUUAGCACGAGCUUGCAUGAAUAUGCUUGAAAACCUUUCUGAAUACUUGAAAAAUAUCUUCUAACACUUGUUCUUCAUUACUCAACUUCUCAAUUUACAUUAAAAAUAACUUAUCACGAAAUUUAGCCAAUCACACAACCUAACAAAAACUGCCUCAAGUGAGAUUUCAGGUAAAUGUGAUCCCCACACAUAUUAAAUGCAGUAGGACCAAUUUAUACGAAAGGAGGAGCAUUACUCCAGUGAAGAACUCUGAACCUUCAUACACGUUUCACAAUUUGACUUUGUUAAAGUGCAACAUAAAUGACCAUCAUUUUCUUGACGGGCCCUUACUUUGGAAUUGAUUCAUCUAUUAUUUCAUGCAUGAUGGACCGGUUGUUCAUUAAAUUUAUACCAAUCAUGUAAAACUUUUUAAUAAACAAAAAUUAUUCAGUGCGCUUGACAGGAGCAGAGCUAGAAUUCCUUCGAAAUGAGGGCCAAAUAUCUAGAAGCAUAUACGUAUUUUUUUCAUUUGAUAAUCAAAAUAUAUAAAUAAAUUGAAAUGCUCAAUUAGUUAUACCCCUAGAGUCCACUUCUCCCCCAUACAACGAGUGAAAGAGAAAAUGAAAAAACUAUAGAGAAAAUGAAAAGACUAUCAAAACUGCCCAAAUGAGAUUUCUGGUAAAUGUGAGCCCCACACGUAUUAAAUGCAGUAGGACCAAUUUAUAUGAGAGGAGGAGCAUUACUCCAGUCAAGAACUCUGAACCUUCAUACACGUUUCACAAUUUGACUUUGUUAAACUGCAACAUCAAUGGCCAUCCUUUUCUUGAUGGGCCCUUACUUUGGAAUUGCUUCAUCAAUUAUUUCAUGUGUGAUGGACCGAUUGUUCAUUCAAUUUAUACAAAUCUGGUAAAACUUUUUAAUGAACAAAAAUUAUUCAGUGCGUUUGACAAAAACAGAGCUAGAAUUCCAUCGAAAUGAUGGCCCAAUAUCUAGAAGCAUAUACGUAUUUUUUUCAUUUGAUAAUUAAAAUAUAUAAAUAAAUUGAAAUGAUCAAUUAGUUGUACCCCUAGAGUCCACUUCUCCCCAAUACAACGAGUGAAAGAGAAAAUGAAAAGACUAUCAAAAUUGUCCAAGUGAGAUUUCCAGUAAAUGUGAGUGCCACGCAUGUUCAAUGCGAUAGGAUCAAUUUAUAUGAGAGGAUGAGCGUUACUCCAAUCAAGAACAUUGAACCUUCAUACACGUUUUGCAACUUGACUUUGUUAAACGGCAACAUCAAUGGCCAUCCUUUUCUUGAGGGCCCUUGCUUUGGAAUUGUUUUAUCAAUUAUUUUAUGC
rnacentral:lncRNA from 1 species